rnacentral:snoRNA from 12 species
AUUCCCAUGUUAGUACCUUUCAUUCGCAUCACCGUGAAUGGACGGCUAUGCUAAUGGGAUAGAAAAAAACCCUGUCAUGGUCUGAAGGUGUGGCUAGCGGACUCUGAGGCUUGGAUGACCAGUAACUU